rnacentral:rRNA from 1 species
GACGAACGCUGGCGGCGUGCUUAACACAUGCAAGUCGAACGGUAAGGCCCUUCGGGGUACACGAGUGGCGAACGGGUGAGUAACACGUGGGUGAUCUGCCCUGCACUUCGGGAUAAGCCUGGGAAACUGGGUCUAAUACCGGAUAGGACUCCUGGCUUCAUGGUUGGGGGUGGAAAGCUUUUGCGGUGUGGGAUGGGCCCGCGGCCUAUCAGCUUGUUGGUGGGGUAAUGGCCUACCAAGGCGACGACGGGUAGCCGGCCUGAGAGGGUGACCGGUCACACUGGGACUGAGAUACGGCCCAGACUCCUACGGGAGGCAGCAGUGGGGAAUAUUGCACAAUGGGCGCAAGCCUGAUGCAGCGACGCCGCGUGAGGGAUGACGGCCUUCGGGUUGUAAACCCCUCUCAGCCAUGACGAAGCGCAAGUGACGGUAGUAGCAGAAGAAGGACCGGCCAACUACGUGCCAGCAGCCGCAGUAA